rnacentral:rRNA from 1 species
UACGGGGGGAGCAAGCGUUGUUCGGAUUUACUGGGCGUAAAGGGCGCGUAGGCGGUCAGCACAAGUCAGUUGUGAAAUCUCCGGGCUUAACUCGGAAAGGUCAACUGAUACUGUGCGACUAGAGUGCAGAAGGGGCAACUGGAAUUCUCGGUGUAGCGGUGAAAUGCGUAGAUAUCAGGAGGAACACCGAUGGCGAAGGCAGGUCUCUGGGCCACUACUGACGCUGAGAAGCGAAAGCAUGGGGAGCGAACAGG